rnacentral:rRNA from 1 species
AGCAGCCGCGGUAAUUCCAGCUCCAAUAGCGUAUAUUAAAGUUGUUGCAGUUAAAAAGCUCGUAGUUGAAUUUCGGGAUCAAUAUGUCGGUCGUGCCUUCGGUACGUACUGGUAUCAUUGGUCUCUCCUUUCUGACGAACCAUGAUGUCAUUAAUUUGGUGUUAUGGGGAGUUAGGACUGUUACUUUGAAAAAAUUAGAGUGUUUAAAGCAGGCUUUAGCUUGAAUACAUUAGCAUGGAAUAACGAAAUAGGACGUUCGAACCUAUUUUGUUGGUUUCUAGGAUCAACGUAAUGAUUAAUAGGGAUAGUUGGGGGCAUUAGUAUUCAAUUGUCAGAGGUGAAAUUCUUGGAUUUAUUGAAGACUAACUACUGCGAAAGCACUUGCCAAGGAUGUUUUCAUUAAUCAAGAACGAAAGUUAGGGGAUCGAAGACGAUCAGAUACCGUCGUAG